rnacentral:rRNA from 1 species
UACGUAGGGUGCAAGCGUUAAUCGGAAUUACUGGGCGUAAAGCGUGCGCAGGCGGUUUUGUAAGCCAGAUGUGAAAUCCCCGGGCUUAACCUGGGAAUGGCAUUUGGGACUGCAAGGCUCGAGUGCGGCAGAGGAGACUGGAAUUCCUGGUGUAGCAGUGAAAUGCGUAGAUAUCAGGAGGAACACCGAUGGCGAAGGCAGGUCUCUGGGCUGACACUGACGCUCAUGCACGAAAGCGUGGGGAGCAAAAGGG